rnacentral:rRNA from 1 species
AGUGAACGCUGGCGGUAGGCCUAACACAUGCAAGUCGAACGGCAGCACAGUAAGAGCUUGCUCUUACGGGUGGCGAGUGGCGGACGGGUGAGGAAUACAUCGGAAUCUACUUUUUCGUGGGGGAUAACGUAGGGAAACUUACGCUAAUACCGCAUACGACCUACGGGUGAAAGCAGGGGAUCUUCGGACCUUGCGCGAUUGAAUGAGCCGAUUUCGGAUUAGCUAGUUGGCGGGGUAAAGGCCCACCAAGGCAACGAUGCGUAGCUGAUCUGAGAGGAUGAUCGGCAACACUGGAACUGAGACACGGUCCAGACUCCUACGGGAGGCAGCAGUAGGGAAUCUUCCGCAAUGGGCGAAAGCCUGACGGAGCAACGCCGCGUGAGUGAUGAAGGUCUUCUGAUCGUAAAACUCUGUUAUUAGGGAAGAACAUAUGGGUAAGUAACUGUGCACAUCUUGACGGUACCUAAUCAGAAAGCCACGGCUAACUACGUG